rnacentral:lncRNA from 1 species
UUGGUUGUUUGAUUUAGAAGAUGAUGAAAACGAGAAUGAUAUCGAGGAAGGACUUGUAGAAGAUAUUGAAUCAUUGUAUCCGACAUAUGAUGAUAGCCACGUUUAGGUAAUAUUGACUACCAUACUGAUAAAGUAGUACACGUUUAGAAAAUAUUUUUUUACGCAACCAAACAUUAUCUUCCAAUCACUUUUUCGGGCUACGCUUCUCUUUUCUGGUCUAAAUACUAGGGGUGUCAAUCGUGUCUUGUUGGCGGGUUGUAAUCAAGUUGUGAAUGGUUGGCGGGUUGGUGGAGGAUAUAUUCAAGGUGAUCUGA